UUAAAAGUAGAGACAGAGGGAGAGAUUCACCACUAGCCUUCAAUAAAUCAUCUCUCUCCCAAAAUGGCAAACAACUGUAAAAAUGUUGCAAUACUGUAUCUUAUGUGCAUUUUAGUUUCUGUGAUAGCUUUUCGGUUAUGUAAAGCGGAUAGCGACCUUCAAACAGGAGACGUUUAUAAACAAUGUUUGAAAGAAUGCGAUGACAAAUGAAAAGCAGAUGGAAACGGCGAAGUCUUUUGUCACGCAAAAUGUUCUAAAUCUUGUGAGUAGCAGCAAAAAGAUGCAAACGCAAAAGAGAAAGAAAGAUGUAUAAAUAAAAUGAAGAAUAUACAUUGAGGUAGAUGGAAAAAAAGAAAAUCAACGUUUAAAAAACAAAGAAUUACAAGAAGAUGGACUGCCGAUUAGAUAACAUCGUAUUGGAGAAGUUCAAGUGAACUCUACGAGAAGAUGGCCUGCCAAUUUAUUUGUUUGUAUAUAAUUGUAGUGGCAUGAAACUACGCACUACAUCUGAUGGAGUAUAGGGUGAUUCCACAUAAUACGAAGAAACAUAAACAAACAUAGACACAAGGAUUUACAUGGUUCGGUAUAAUUAUCUACGUCCACGGGGUGAAAGGAUGUGUAUUAUUAUUCUUCUUUCUUGGUUACAAGUUGUACUCUCUCUCUAGUGGUGAUGUUCUCUCAACUCAAGUAGGAUGCCUAGUUUUCUCUCCCUCUUCGACCUCUCUUUCUCUCUCGACUAUCCCUUAUAUUUAUAGGCCAAAGUCGACAUACAACAGAAUUACAAUGUUGGUCACAUUACAUCAUUUUAGCUGUUCUCUAUAGGACCUUCACUGAUCGCCCGACUUCCUUGUUUGACCGAUAGUUCUUCACCCGAGGCCGAGUCUGUAUCGCCUGGUUAGCACGAUGUCUCCCUUCUUUCUUCUCGUUCCUUUGUUUGACCACCUUCCUUCGUCUGACCGAGUGCUUUCUGAUUGUUCGCCCGACCUGUCUGACGAUAAGGGUCACAUCACAUCAGACACCUAUUGGGCCAUCACGUCCGACCCACGUGAUACCUCGCUCUUUGUGCCGUUUGGUUCUAUCUUGUGCUUCGUCGCUCUUUUUUCUUUGGUGUAUUAUAGCUUAGGAUCUUUCCACCUAGCCCUGUGGAUUAUCUACACCUACAUUUAUGCCCCUUUUUUCGCUCGUGUGCUUGACACGAGGGAAAUAAAAUCGUUCCAUCUUCUCACGUCCUCGAGCGUGCCGGGAAUUCCGGCAUGCAGUCUCCCACUAACUCUCCUUUAUGACUCGUAACCGUUGCUAUCAGUUGAGGCGUUGUACCCUAUAAAUACCCUCCCUUAUGUUCUCACUCCCUUGUUCGCCAUUUUUCAGAGAAACGAAGUGAUGUUCAUCUUUCUUCUCUUCCUCUCUUUGUUGCUGAUGCCAUUAAUUCCGGUGACUCUCUUCUCUUUUCCAUCUUCGUCUUUGUUGUUUCUGUUGGUGAGAUUCGCGACAGUUGUGGUUAGUUCUUCCUUUUGCUUUUCUCUUCAUCAGAGCUCGUAUCUCCCUGUUUGUUUUUCUUUCCAUGGAUUCUUCUUCUCCGUCAAUGACCGAAAAAGGUGCGUGAUUGAUACCUUCUCCGAGGGCGAUGUCGUUUCUCUAGGGAGAGGUUCCAACAAGAUGGAUGCUGGAUGAUGAUCCUCUAGGGAGAGGUUCCAACAAGCGUGCUCGCCAUACUAAUGACCCAUACUUGGAUCGGGUUCAAUUACUUGUUCGCGGCCAGAUUUUGCAUGGUAGCUUCCCUCCUCCUCAGUUUCUUGUGGAGCCUUACUUAUUCUGGGUGAUUAAUGAUGACAGGGUUAAGCCUCAGGGCGAGCCUACCAAAUCGGCUUCUAUUUCGAAGAAGAUGAGCGCUGGCACAAGGGUCAAGGAAGACUAGGGGAAGAAAAUCCCAGGCGCGAGGAUGAAGAUGUUGGAGGGUCUGAUACUGUUGGUGGUGAAGGUUUGGUUCCAAGGCGUAAUCCUCCUCGGGGGAAGUGGCGGCGAAGGGAGUGAUGCUGAAAAGUUCGGACAUCGUGAUCGACAUCCCCGAUCAAGAUGAUGAGGACGAUAUAUUCGGGGACGAGCAGCUGUUUGAUGAGAAUGGCGGUGGGAAGAAAGAAGGGGAGUUUCCCUUGGAGAUUACUAUUGUGACUCCUACCAUGCAGCCUGGGGCUCAGGGGCCGACCGAAACCUCGCUCCAAAAGCGUCCCCCAAUGGAUGUUGGUUCUUCCUCGAGUGUUCACACAUCUUUUACCAUAUCGGUCCCUCUGUGUGAUUCUCUUGGCGCAUUACACUCGGAGGAGUUCGUCUCCUAUACUGAUGAACAGAUGAUUGUUGUUGUGCCCCUAUAUCCUGACAUUGCGCCGGUCUUUGAUAAUCUGACGUUUAAUCGGUUGAGGUAGGAGGCUGCACUCCGCCGAUAAGAGAUUAGGAAGUUGGAGGCUGCUCUUCAGUGGGAGAAGGAACAAUCUCGUGACCUGGAGAUCAAACUCGCCGAUGCUCAAGCCAAGCAGGGUCGUGUUAAGGAUCUGAAGCGAGAUGUGCACAACCUCGGGCAUGAGGUGGAGCAGUGGAAGAAGGCUGAAGGUGAGACGAAGGUUAAGCUCCAAGCCGCCGAGUCGAGGUCUGAGCAACUUUCUCAACAUAUUGUGGACGAGAGAAACGCUCAUCAGAGCGAGCUAGCUGAGGCGAUUAAGGCCGGUGUGAACGAGUACAUCGGCAAAAGCGCCGCGAGGUUGAUCAGAGGAAGGGAGGGGCCGGUGUUGUUCCACCCAGGAGUUGAUCACGCCUUUUGUAGUGUUGCGCCACUAAUUUUCCCUUUGUUGCGGGUUGUAAUUCGUUUGAAAACUUGUCCCAUGCUUCUUUGAACAAUUUCUUUUAAAUGGGGUGAUGCGUCGCCAAGCUUGUUCUUUCUUUUCUAUUUUCCUUGAAAAUUUCCGCCUUUUCCACUGUGUUGACAAUUCUCUUGAUAAUUUCAGCCUUAUCUUGUUGUUUAUGUUA